rnacentral:rRNA from 1 species
AUGGGUGACAGAAAAUUCACUGCCAAAUCUCUAUACAGGGAUCUGAUCAAAUCUGAUGUGGGAUUCUCCAAGAAGUUCCUGUGGAAAACUAAAGUUCCUACUAAUAUUAGAUUCUUUCUUUGGCUGUUAGCCAGGAAAAGCAUACUUACUAGAGAUAAUCUGUUAAAAAGAGGCUGGAAAGGGGAUAAAAAUUGUGUGUUUUGUGGCAAAGCUGAAACAAUAGAUCAUCUAUUUUUCUUGUGC